UGACAGGUGAUUCACGGCUCAAGAUGCCCUCCUGAACCACACUUUUAAUAACUUGGGGAGGCCAAGAGCAAAGACGGAGGUCUUCGAGGGCAGCAACUGUGAAUUAGGAAGGGAAAAAAAACCCUCAAAGGUCCCUAAUUUUCUUGGUCUUGGUGGCAGCAAGAGAAGACAUUGAAGGGAGCCGGAAGAAUGUGCAGGGAGGCACCUCAUCCCGAAGAGACUUCGGGUUGGAAGGAACGGUGUUUUGACUCAAGGAGUAAAAG